rnacentral:snRNA from 1 species
UCAGCAUCUCAGCCUUUUGGCAAAGAACAAGCAGUUUUGGCACCAAGGAGAGGGUUUCAGGGCUGGCUCUGGCCUUCCCAGUGCUGACCUGAUAUUGCAGUACCUCCAGGCCUGGUGCUAGUUCCCUGUGGAAGGAGGUGGGGGAAAGGUUCCCAUCAGCAUUUUUGGCAUCAGCGGAGGGUGUUGAAGCUUGCUCCAGCUUCUCCACGUGCUGGCCUGGUAUUGCAGUACCUCUAGGCCUGGUGCUUAUUCC